GGGAUUUUUUUGGAAAAAAAAAAAAACUACAAGGUCUCCGUUGGUGAACCAGCGGAGGGAUCAUUACCGAGUUUACAACUCCCAAACCCCUGUGAACAUACCAAUUGUUGCCUCGGCGGAUCAGCCCGCUCCCGGUAAAACGGGACGGCCCGCCAGAGGACCCCUAAACUCUGUUUCUAUAUGUAACUUCUGAGUAAAACCAUAAAUAAAUCAAAACUUUCAACAACGGAUCUCUUGGUUCUGGCAUCGAUGAAGAACGCAGCAAAAUGCGAUAAGUAAUGUGAAUUGCAGAAUUCAGUGAAUCAUCGAAUCUUUGAACGCACAUUGCGCCCGCCAGUAUUCUGGCGGGCAUGCCUGUUCGAGCGUCAUUUCAACCCUCAAGCCCAGCUUGGUGUUGGGACUCGCGAGUCAAAUCGCGUUCCCCAAAUUGAUUGGCGGUCACGUCGAGCUUCCAUAGCGUAGUAGUAAAACCCUCGUUACUGGUAAUCGUCGCGGCCACGCCGUUAAACCCCAACUUCUGAAUGUGACCUCGGAUCAGGUAGGAAUUCCCGGC
rnacentral:rRNA from 1 species